rnacentral:rRNA from 3 species
CGUUCUGUAAGCCUGCGAAGGUGUGCUGUGAGGCAUGCUGGAGGUAUCAGAAGUGCGAAUGCUGACAUAAGUAACGAUAAAGCGGGUGAAAAGCCCGCUCGCCGGAAGACCAAGGGUUCCUGUCCAACGUUAAUCGGGGCAGGGUGAGUCGACCCCUAAGGCGAGGCCGAAAGGCGUAGUCGAUGGGAAACAGGUUAAUAUUCCUGUACUUGGUGUUACUGCGAAGGGGGGACGGAGAAGGCUAUGUUGGCCGGGCGACGGUUGUCCCGGUUUAAGCGUGUAGGCUGGUUUUCCAGGCAAAUCCGGAAAAUCAAGGCUGAGGCGUGAUGACGAGGCACUACGGUGCUGAAGCAACAAAUGCCCUGCUUCCAGGAAAAGCCUCUAAGCAUCAGGUAACAUCAAAUCGUACCCCAAACCGACACAGGUGGUCAGGUAGAGAAUACCAAGGCGCUUGAGAGAACUCGGGUGAAGGAACUAGGCAAAAUGGUGCCGUAACUUCGGGAGAAGG